rnacentral:rRNA from 1 species
UACGUAGGGGGCGAGCGUUAUCCGGAUUCACUGGGUUUAAAGGGUGCGUAGGUGGAAAUGUAAGCCAGUGGUGAAAUCUCCGUGCUUAACAUGGAAACUGCCAUUGAUACUAUGUUUCUUGAAUUUUCUGGAGGUCAGCGGAAUAUGUCAUGUAGCGGUGAAAUGCUUAGAUAUGACAUAGAACACCAAUUGCGAAGGCAGCUGACUACAGGGACAUUGACACUGAGGCACGAAAGCGUGGGGAUCAAACAG